UACAGAGGGGGCAAGCGUUGUUCGGAAUUACUGGGCGUAAAGGGCGCGUAGGCGGCCUGAUAAGUAGGGGGUGAAAUCCUGCGGCUUAACCGCAGGGCUGCCUUCUAAACUGUCAGGCUCGAGCACAGUAGAGGCAGGUGGAAUUCCCGGUGUAGCGGUGGAAUGCGUAGAGAUCGGGAAGAACAUCAGUGGCGAAGGCGGCCUGCUGGGCUGUUGCUGACGCUGAGGCGCGACAGCGUGGGGAUCAAACAGG
rnacentral:rRNA from 1 species